CCCUUCCCUAUCCUGUGAGAGGCCUUGGGCCCUUGGACGUGGACAUCCCAGACCACUCGGCCAUGUUCCAUCACAGCUCCUCAAUCCCCUGGGGAAAUGGCUGCAGGCAGUGACUGAGCACACAGGAGCGCUAACGGCAACUCGUCAGACAGAGGCAUAGAGAAUCUUCAAUAGAAAAUGACGAUGCAAAGUCCAACCAAAGGGAAUAUGAAGAGAACGUAGCUAAAAUACACAAGGUGUAAAUUGUGACUGUGAAGAUUCCAAAGACAGAGAUAAAGGACUUGGCAGAUGUCAGGCACUCAAUAAUGGGUAAAUAAUAUUUGCUUUCGACAUUCCUUCCUAUAAUGAAA